rnacentral:rRNA from 1 species
GUAACGCGUAGGUAACCUACCUCAUAGCGAGGGAUAACUAUUGGAAACGAUAGCUAAUACCGCAUAAGAGAGACUAACGCAUGUUAGUAAUUUAAAAGGGGCAAUUGCUCCACUAUGAGAUGGACCCGCGUUGUAUUAGCUAGUUGGUGAGGUAAAGGCUCACCAAGGCGACGAUACAUAGCCGACCUGAGAGGGUGAUCGGCCACACUGGAACUGAGACACGGUCCAG